rnacentral:rRNA from 1 species
AUUGAACGCUGGCGGAAUGCUUUACACAUGCAAGUCGAGCGGCAGCGCGGGGGCAACUCUGGCGGCGAGCGGCGAACGGGUGAGUAAUGCAUCGGAACAUGUCCGGUUGUGGGGGAUAACCUGGCGAAAGCCAGGCUAAUACCGCAUGAGCUCGAGAGAGGAAAGCGGGGGACCUGCAAGGGCCUCGCGCGACCGGGUUGGCCGAUGUCCGAUUAGCUAGNGGUGGGGUAAAGGCUUACCAAGGCGAUGAUCGGUAGCUGGUCUGAGAGGAUGAUCAGCCACACUGGGACUGAGACACGGCCCAGACUCCUACGGGAGGCAGCAGUGGGGAAUUUUGGACAAUGGGGCAACCCUGAUCCAGCCAUUCCGCGUG